GACGAACGCUGGCGGCGUGCUUAACACAUGCAAGUCGAACGGAAAGGCCCUUCGGGGUACUCGAGUGGCGAACGGGUGAGUAACACGUGGGUGAUCUGCCCUGCACUUUGGGAUAAGCCUGGGAAACUGGGUCUAAUACCGAAUAUGAUCAUCGGCUUCAUGGUCGGUGGUGGAAAGCUUUUGCGGUGUGGGAUGGGCCCGCGGCCUAUCAGCUUGUUGGUGGGUAAUGGCCUACCAAGGCGACGACGGGUAGCCGGCCUGAGAGGGUGACCGGCCACACUGGGACUGAGAUACGGCCCAGACUCCUACGGGAGGCAGCAGUGGGGAAUAUUGCACAAUGGGCGCAAGCCUGAUGCAGCGACGCCGCGUGAGGGAUGACGGCCUUCGGGUUGUAAACCUCUUUCAGCACAGACGAAGCGCAAGUGACGGUAUGUGCAGAAGAAGGACCGGCCAACUACGUG
rnacentral:rRNA from 1 species